rnacentral:rRNA from 1 species
UACGGAGGAUCCAAGCGUUAUCCGGAUUUAUUGGGUUUAAAGGGUGCGUAGGCGGUCUUAUAAGUCAGUGGUGAAAUACGGCAGCUCAACUGUCGAGGUGCCAUUGAUACUGUAGGACUUGAGUACAGACGAGGUAGGCGGAAUUGACGGUGUAGCGGUGAAAUGCUUAGAUAUCGUCAAGAACACCGAUAGCGAAGGCAGCUUACUAGGCUGUAACUGACGCUGAGGCACGAAAGUGUGGGGAUCAAACAGG